rnacentral:rRNA from 1 species
UACGGGGGGGGCAAGCGUUGUUCGGAAUUACUGGGCGUAAAGGGUUCGUAGGUGGCCAACUAAGUCAUACGUGAAAUCCCUCAGCUUAACUGGGGAACUGCGUCUGAUACUGGUUGGCUUGAGUGCAGGAGAGGAACGCGGAAUUCCAGGUGUAGCGGUGAAAUGCGCAGAUAUCGGGAGGAACACCGGUGGCGAAGGCGGUUCUCUGGGCCUGUACUGACGCUGAGGAGCGAAAGCGUGGGGAGCGAACAGG